rnacentral:rRNA from 1 species
AUUGAACGCUGGCGGCAUGCUUUACACAUGCAAGUCGAACGGCAGCGCGGGCUUCGGCCUGGCGGCGAGUGGCGAACGGGUGAGUAAUACAUCGGAACGUGCCCAGUAGUGGGGGAUAGCUCGGCGAAAGCCGGAUUAAUACCGCAUACGACCUGAGGGUGAAAGCGGGGGAUCUUCGGACCUCGCGCUAUUUGAGCGGCCGAUGGCAGAUUAGCUAGUUGGUGGGGUAAAGGCCUACCAAGGCGACGAUCUGUAGCUGGUCUGAGAGGACGACCAGCCACACUGGGACUGAGACACGGCCCAGACUCCUACGGGAGGCAGCAGUGGGGAAUGUUGGACAAUGGGCGAAAGCCUGAUCCAGCAAUGCCGCGUGUGUGAUGAAGGCCUUCAGGUCGUAAAGCACUUUUGGCGGGAACGAAAAGGACUGUGCCAAUACCACGGUUCGAUGACGGUACCCGCAGAAUAAGCACCGGCUAACUACGUG